CAGUAGCCGCGGUAACACGUAGGUGGCAAGCGUUGUCCGGAAUUAUUGGGCGUAAAGGGCUCGCAGGCGGUUUCUUAAGUCUGAUGUGAAAACCCCCGGCUCAACCGGGGAGGGUCAUUGGAAACUGGGAAACUUGAGUGCAGAAGAGGAGAGUGGAAUUCCACGUGUAGCGGUGAAAUGCGUAGAGAUGUGGAGGAACACCAGUGGCGAAGGCGACUCUCUGGUCUGUAACUGACGCUGAGGAGCGAAAGCGUGGGGAGCGAACAGGAUUAGAUACCCCCGUAGUCCCUGUCUCUUAUAC
rnacentral:rRNA from 1 species